CCCGCCGGCGACCGGCGCACGGGUGAGUAACACGUAUGAAACCUGCCCGUAGCAGGGGGAUAAGCGGAAGAAAUUCCGUCUAAUACCGCGUAACAACCCAUGGAGGCAUCUCUGUGGGUUUAAAGGAAGCGAUUCCGGCUACGGAUGGUCAUGCGGCGCAUUAGCUAGACGGCGGGGUAACGGCCCACCGUGGCGACGAUGCGUAGGGGUUCUGAGAGGAAGGUCCCCCACACUGGUACUGAGACACGGACCAGACUCCUACGGAAGGCAGCAG
rnacentral:rRNA from 1 species